rnacentral:lncRNA from 1 species
GUCUACUUGAAGCUGAAAAUGUUGAUAGAAGUGUAAUUGUGGCAGUACCUAAAAAAGCCGGUGUGUAGAAACAAAAUUGUCACUGGCUAGUUUUGUGUGCUCUUACAAGAACUUGAAACAACAGUGGUGAAGUGGGACUGCUUCAGAGAGAUGUUAAAACUGAGUGCAUCUGCUCUGAUUAUGACAUUAAUACUAAAGCCAAACCAUGGUAACUGCUAAUCCACUGUAUCUAGAAGAGCUCUUGGAAGGACAAAGGAUUAUCACUUUCUGCUGUUUGAAGUGUGAUCUGUGUGCAAUCUUGGGAGUUGUGCUGGCAAAACUGUCAAAGGGCACGGUCAGUGUUUAAGAAAGACAAGCCCUUGCACUUUGCCUGGAGUAGGUGCC